rnacentral:lncRNA from 1 species
UUUUCCAAGGGCUCCCGUUGCUCGCCAGCACACCUGAAGCCUAGCAGUUUAGCUAGUGGGGUUUAUGCUAAGCUGUUGCCCAUACAACGGUCGAGUGGUUGCACGAUGAUGGAAUUAGGCAGGAUGACACAUCAACUCGGUCCUUAGCCAUGACAAGAUGGAUAUCUCCCAUUCUGCUCAACCACUAAGGUACGAGCCCAACAACCCGGCAUUCCACACGAGAAACACCUAUCCAUCUCAUCC